GAUAUACUCCCUCCGUCCCAAAAUAAGUGUCUCAAUUUUAGUACAACUUUAUACUAAGGUUAGUACAAAGUUGAGACACUUAUUUUGGGACGGAGGGAGUAUAAG
rfam:Triticum urartu cultivar G1812 contig1041950, whole genome shotgun sequence.